GAAGCAGGAAACUACCCAAAGGGAUAUGCUAUCACUGGAAUUUAUUCUAAUGAAGAUGUUUUGAUACUGUUUGGGAAAUACAAGCCCACGCUGUUCCCUUGCUGUCAAUCUGAACUGUUCUCGAAGCCAGGAUGAGGGAUGGGACAAGGUGGCUGAGAAGGACCGUUCCCUCCUGGGGCAAAUCUGUGCCAUGAGGAGGCUGGGUUUGCUCCAAUCACCAGCCCUCAUCUGAGUUCCACUUUAGCCAGAGGUGGAUGGAAUGCAGCCCGCUUCUGCCUGCUCUUGCGUGACCUGAGAGAAAAGAAUAAAUGGCCAAACAAUGCCAAACAA